AAGUUCUUAAAUGUUACGAAUUUAUACCGUUUUUUCUUUUUUACAAAUAAUUUCUUUUAGUUGUAAAAGAAAUUACUAAACUUCUGCUUAUAUAUAAUCUACUCUAUAUAUGAGUUUGUCAUGGACUUUGCUGAGGGUCAAAAAGCUUUUUGUUUUGAGCCUGACCCCACAAAAGCAAGGGUUCUCUAUGAAGCCAGGAUUCUCUCAUGUUUCACAGCUGGAAGCAUUAUGAAAAAAAAAUGUUAUAAAGUACACUUCCUAGGCUGGAAUAACAGCUGGGACCGUGUAGUACCAGAAACUCAUCUUCUGCCAUUUAACGAAGACAACAAAAAGCUUAAAAAAACACUUGAAUUGACCAUACGAAUAAAAAACAAUAGAAAGCGAAAGAGAAAGAUUAAUGAAAUUUUAAAGACCUAUUUCGGCAAAAAGCCAAAACUCGAGUCAGAUGAUAGCGGAAGUGAAAGUUCUGAGAAUGAAGCUUCAAAAGAAACCGUUGAUUUUGAUGAUUUAUAUCGAUCUUUUGUGGAAUCUCAGCAAAUUUCUUUAAAACAAGCAACUGAAGAUUUCAAAAAGGAAUCCAUCACUCCAAAAGUUUUAAAGUUCGACAUGCCUGCCAGAUUGAAAUUAAAAUUAAGAGAGGAUUCUGCGAAUAUAAGUCGAAAGAAAAAAGUUGCCUCUCUACCCGCUAAGCUGAACCUUUUGCAAAUAUUUUCACUUUUUCUGGAAAGCUGUUCCAAAAAUAUGGUUGAAGAUAUUAUCCUCGAAUCUUUAAAUGGAAUUCGAAUAAUUUUCGAUAACACUUUCUCAAAUACUUUACUUUAUAAGCAUGAAAGACCAUAUUGGGAAGCCUAUAUAUCUGAUCAGGUUGAUCCUUCACCUUCGGUUUCAGAAGUUCGGUUUGUAUCAACAUGAAUGUUCUAUUUAAGAAAAACAACAAUGACUAAUGACAUGUAUUCUUAAAAGCGAAACUCGUCGAUCAGCAAAGAAACGUUUCCAGAAAUCUCCUACAGAUGAUAUUCAAAGUCACAAUUUCAUUUCCACUGAAAAUUUGGAAGAACUACGUAAAAAAAAAGCUCCAUCAACUGUAUGCGGCUGUAUCCAUUUUCUAAGAAUAUUUACAAGUCUACCGCAAGUUUUCACAUCAAUGAGAAUGAGCGAAGAAAAACAAAAACGUGCCGUCGAAAUACUAGGAAAUCUGUUAAGGUAACUAUUUGAAAAUAAGCUCAAAGAAUUUGAAAGAUUUGUUUACAUUUGAAAAAUACCAGAAGUAUUUUUUUUGUUAUCUAAAAUUAUCAUUUAUUUUUUAUGUGGUAUUGUUAGCAUAGAGAUAACUAUGAAUUUAACGUGUAUCAGGCAAUAACUCUUACGCAUUGUUUUCAUCGAACAGCUUCAUAGAUAAAAAUUGCGAUCGCUUCUUAUCGUCAGAAAACUUUAUCGAUUAUGACUCAAUUAGCUGCCUUUCGUGAUUAUAAUCAACUUUUAAUGCCUAUCAGAUGGAUUUGAACAUUCAGAACAUGCAAACCGGCUAAUAAAACUUCAAAAUUUUCUUUUUCUUUUUGAUAACAAACAAAACUAAAGUAUUUUCUGUUGUCUAAAUUCUGUUAUAGACUAAAUGUAUCAAUGAAAACACAUUAACUUAUAGUCAGUUAAUGGUUCGCUGAAAAAAUAUUGCAUCAU
rnacentral:misc_RNA from 1 species